rnacentral:rRNA from 1 species
UUGGAGGGCAAGUCUGGUGCCAGCAGCCGCGGUAAUUCCAGCUCCAAUAGCGUAUAUUAAAGUUGUUGCAGUUAAAAAGCUCGUAGUUGAAUUUCGGGAUCAAUGUUUCGGUCAUGCCGUUGGUAUGUACUGAUAUUAUUGAUUUCUCACCUUCUAAAGAACCGUAAUGCCAUUAAUUUGGUGUCACGGGGAAUUAGGACUGUUACCUUGAAAAAAUUAGAGUGUUUAAAGCAGGCUUACGCUUGAAUACAUUAGCAUGGAAUAAUGAAAUAGGACAUCCGAUUCUAUUUUGUUGGUUUCUAGGAUCGAUGUAAUGAUUAAUAGGGAUAGUUGGGGGCAUUAGUAUUCAAUUGUCAGAGGUGAAAUUCUUGGAUUCAUUGAAGACUAACUACUGCGAAAGCAUUUGCCAAGGAUGUUUUCAUUAAUCAAGAACGAAAGUUAGGGGAUCGAAGACGAUCAGAUACCGUCGUAGUCUUAACCAUAAACUAUGCCGACUAGGGAUCGGAUGAUGUUAAUUUUUUAAUGACUCAUUCGGCACCUUACGGGAAACCAAAG